rnacentral:rRNA from 1 species
GAUGAACGCUGGCGGCGUGCCUAACACAUGCAAGUCGAGCGAUUUACUUCGGUAAAGAGCGGCGGACGGGUGAGUAACGCGUGGGUAACCUGCCCUAUACACACGGAUAACAUACCGAAAGGUAUGCUAAUACGAGAUGACAUAAGAGAUUCGCAUGGAUUUCUUAUCAAAGCUUUUGCGGUAUAGGAUGGACCCGCGUCUGAUUAGCUAGUUGGUAAGGUAACGGCUUACCAAGGCGACGAUCAGUAGCCGACCUGAGAGGGUGAUCGGCCACAUUGGAACUGAGACACGGUCCAAACUCCUACGGGAGGCAGCAGUGGGGAAUAUUGCACAAUGGGCGAAAGCCUGAUGCAGCAACGCCGCGUGAGCGAUGAAGGCCUUCGGGUCGUAAAGCUCUGUCCUCAAGGAAGAUAAUGACGGUACUUGAGGAGGAAGCCCCGGCUAACUACGUG